AUUCACACAAAUAAUCUUGUAGUGAAAUAUUAAUUACUUCAAGUAUGGUGUUGCACAAGCUUGGUUUUGUUUUUGCUAUACUUGUUAUGGCGGCCACUAUUCAUAUGUCAAAUUUCUCGAAGACACAAGUGUUAGCUACCGCUGAUGUUGAUCAAAAACUUUCAGGACUUAAGAGGAGAUUGCUCCCACAAAUUGAUGGUUUUAUGACUUGCGGUAAAUCUUGUUCUACCAAAAGUGAUUGUAAAGGUUGUUGGAUUUGUUGUAAAUGUCAGGGUAAGGGAGCACUGCGUAGUUGUGCAGUGGGACGUUGAAUAAUGAUAUGCCAUAUAUCUUUCAAUAUUAUAAAUACUGGAGAAAGUCAAGUGAAUGUCUCUCUCAAGAAAUAAUAAUGGAUUCUGCUAGUCGGGCUAUAGCUUUUUACUUAUUAUUGUAUGAUGCGCCAUGUAUUCUUCAAUAUUAUGAAGGGGAAAAAACAUUUAUAUAUA